rnacentral:rRNA from 1 species
AGAGUUUGAUCCUGGCUCAGGAUGAACGCUAGCUACAGGCUUAACACAUGCAAGUCGAGGGGAAACGACAUCGAAAGCUUGCUUUUGAUGGGCGUCGACCGGCGCACGGGUGAGUAACGCGUAUCCAACCUGCCCACCACUUGGGGAUAACCUUGCGAAAGUAAGACUAAUACCCAAUGACGUCUCUAGAAGACAUCUGAAAGAGAUUAAAGAUUUAUCGGUGAUGGAUGGGGAUGCGUCUGAUUAGCUUGUUGGCGGGGUAACGGCCCACAAGGCGACGAUCAGUAGGGGUUCUGAGAGGAGGUCCCCCANAUUGGAACUGAGACACGGUCCAAACUCCUACGGGGAGCA